GAUGAACGCUGGCGGCGUGCCUAAUACAUGCAAGUCGAGCGAACAGACGAGGAGCUUGCUCCUCUGACGUUAGCGGCGGACGGGUGAGUAACACGUGGAUAACCUACCUAUAAGACUGGGAUAACUUCGGGAAACCGGAGCUAAUACCGGAUAAUAUAUUGAACCGCAUGGUUCAAUAGUGAAAGACGGUUUUGCUGUCACUUAUAGAUGGAUCCGCGCCGCAUUAGCUAGUUGGUAAGGUAACAGCUUACCAAGGCAACGAUGCGUAGCCGACCUGAGAGGGUGAUCGGCCACACUGGAACUGAGACACGGUCCAGACUCCUACGGGAGGCAGCAGUAGGGAAUCUUCCGCAAUGGGCGGAAGCCUGACGGAGCAACGCCGCGUGAGUGAUGAAGGUCUUCGGAUCGUAAAACUCUGUUAUUAGGGAAGAACAAAUGUGUAAGUAACUAUGCACGUCUUGACGGUACCUAAUCAGAAAGCCACGGCUAACUACGUG
rnacentral:rRNA from 1 species